rnacentral:rRNA from 1 species
GUCUCAGGCCGUAUCAGCCUGAAGGCGCCCGAUCUCGUCUGAUCUCGGAAGCUAAGCAGGGUCGGGCCUGGUUAGUAUCUUGGAU